rnacentral:rRNA from 1 species
UUAGAGUUUGAUCCUGGCUCAAGACGAACGCUGGCGGCGCGCCUAACACAUGCAAGUCGAACGGAAUCAAGAGGAGCUUGCUUUUCUUGAUUUAGUGGCGAACGGGUGAGUAACGCGUGAGUAACCUGCCCUGGAGUGGGGGACAACAGUUGGAAACGACUGCUAAUACCGCAUAAGACCACGGUACCGCAUGGUACUGGGGGAAAAAGAUUUAUUCGCUUCAGGAUGGACUCGCGUCCAAUUAGCUAGUUGGUGAGGUAACAGCCCACCAAGGCGACGAUUGGUAGCCGGACUGAGAGGUUGAACGGCCACAUUGGGACUGAGACACGGCCCAGACUCCUACGGGAGGCAGCAGUGGGGGAUAUUGCACAAUGGGGGAAACCCUGAUGCAGCGACGCCGCGUGGAGGAAGAAGGUUUUCGGAUUGUAAACUCCUGUCGUUAGGGACGAUAAUGACGGUACCUAACAAGAAAGCACCGGCUAACUACGUGCCAGCAGCCGCGGUAAAACGUAGGGUGCAAGCGUUGUCCGGAAUUACUGGGUGUAAAGGGAGCGCAGGCGGACCGGCAAGUUGGAAGUGAAAUCCAUGGGCUCAACCCGUGAAUUGCUUUCAAAACUGCUGGCCUUGAGUAGUGCAGAGGUAGGUGGAAUUCCCGGUGUAGCGGUGGAAUGCGUAGAUAUCGGGAGGAACACCAGUGGCGAAGGCGACCUACUGGGCACCAACUGACGCUGAGGCUCGAAAGCAUGGGUAGCAAACAGGAUUAGAUACCCUGGUAGUCCAUGCCGUAAACGAUGAAUUACUAGGUGUGGGAGGAUUGACCCCUUCAGUGCCGCAGUUAACACAAUAAGUAAUCCACCUGGGGAGUACGACCGCAAGGUUGAAACUCAAAGGAAUUGACGGGGGCCCGCACAAGCAGUGGAGUAUGUGGUUUAAUUCGAAGCAACGCGAAGAACCUUACCAGGUCUUGACAUCCGAUGCAUAGUGCAGAGAUGCAUGAAGUCCUUCGGGACAUCGAGACAGGUGGUGCAUGGUUGUCGUCAGCUCGUGUCGUGAGAUGUUGGGUUAAGUCCCGCAACGAGCGCAACCCUUAUUGCCAGUUACUACGCAAGAGGACUCUGGCGAGACUGCCGUUGACAAAACGGAGGAAGGUGGGGAUGACGUCAAAUCAUCAUGCCCUUUAUGACCUGGGCUACACACGUACUACAAUGGCGUUUAACAAAGAGAAGCAAGACCGCGAGGUGGAGCAAAACUCAGAAACAACGUCUCAGUUCAGAUUGCAGGCUGCAACUCGCCUGCAUGAAGUCGGAAUUGCUAGUAAUCGCGGAUCAGCAUGCCGCGGUGAAUACGUUCCCGGGCCUUGUACA